GUGAUGGAUAAUAAUUUACUAUGUCCAGGAAGCAUGACAGCCAGAGUAAAAAGUUAAGCAGAGAGCACAAAGUGUAGGUAUCCCAAGGUUUAGCCUUCCUCUAGUGAUAUUCUCCAACUGGUCUGUACCUCCUAGUCCUCCAACCAGCGCUACUAACUGGGGACCAAGUGUUUUCAAAUACCUGAGGCUGGGGGCAUUUCUCUUUUAGUCUACAACAGGAACUUCUUCACACAGCAUGAGUCUCAGACUACAGUUCUGUCACUGCAUUCAGUUACUUCAGCCAGGCAUGAUGGCACAUGCCUUUGAUCCCAGCAUUCUUAGAUACAGAGGCAGAUGGAUCUCUGAGUUAGAGGCCAGACUGGACUAUAGAGCGAGUUUCAAGACAGCCAGGACUACACAGAAAACCUCUGUCUUGAAAAACAAACCAACUUCUGGCUGACUCACUUGUUCAGGAGGGAUUUUAGAAAGACAGGAUAGCUGUGACCUCAAAGGGGAAGUAGUAGGCUAACAGUAGUUAGUACUUCUUAGUUAGGGCAAAGGGGAGACAGAUCUUACUGCAGCAUCAGGUAGCCAAGCUUGCCAAACCCAGUGCCAUGAUGCUGUGUACCUUACUGGAGGCAGGAUUCAAAAAAUUUGGGGUGUUGGGUGGUGAAAGUUCUUUUUUCUAACUCUUGAUUCUGUGUGUUUCACAUCACGUACCCUAAUCCUGCUGAUUUCCCUAUCCCCUAGGAUUUAAAGUUUUUAUUAUGGCAUGGUAGAUACAUUCAGUGUGGUGGUGGGCAAUCACAACUCAAGUUGUUAGAACUGGGCAGAGCUUACUUGUCUUGGGGUCAUGCUCUCUCCUUGUGCUGACCUGGUAGGCCAGAGUGCACUGAGGCCUCUGCUUUCUUUCAGGGAGCAAAGCUUAUACUGGCUUGCAAUCCAGCAGCUUCCCACAGACCCUAUAGAAGAACAAUUCCCUGUCUUGAAUGUGACCCGGUAUUAUAAUGCCAAUGGGGAUGUGGUGGAAGAGGAAGAAAAUUCCUGUACCUACUAUGAGUGUCACUAUCCUCCUUGUACGGUGAUUGAAAAGCAGCUUCGAGAGUUCAACAUUUGUGGGCGUUGCCAGGUGGCUCGAUACUGUGGCUCUCAGUGCCAGCAGAAGGACUGGCCUGCCCACAAGAAGCACUGUAGGGAGAGGAAGCGUCCCUUCCAGCAUGAGCUUGAGCCAGAGCGAUGACGGGCUGAAGAGCUGCCACUGCUGCGGGUUCACAGUUUCCAGCUCAUCAUGAGCACAGUGGAAGACAGACUGGCAGUUGAACCUGGAGGUGCCAAAGAAGCCAGCAAUGGAUCCAGAGAAGCUGCCAUAAGACCUCACAGCAACAAGCAGCCUGUGGGGACACUGCCCCUCCAGUUUUCACCUCCAGCAGAGACAACGGGGAGGCUCCCUAGGACCUUUCUCAUUAUUUAUAUGUUAAUAUGUUUGUAAACUCAUGUACAGUUUUUUUGGGGGGGAGGCAAGGGGAGGGUUAGCAACUUCAAAUAGAAUCAUUUGUUGUAUUCCUCAAAUGGUAAACAGACACCACUCAGCUAGAGACUGUUGUGUAGUCGAGCUUCGCUCCUGGGCAGUGGGGAGGGGGGUCCCCACUGAAAGGCUUGCACAGAGUCAUGUCUAAACAGGCAGAGUAAAGGUAGAAUCAUUUUUGUGGCCAGUUUCUGCUCCUCAGACCCCUGUUGUCCAGCCCUUUUCUUUUGAGACAGGGUCUCUCCUGGAACUUCAUAGGUAAACCAGGCUGGCCUUGAAUACACAGAUCCACCUGCCUUUGCCCCAUGAGUGCUGGGAUUAACAGACCCGGCUCACCUUUUUUUUUUUUUGUUUAGUUGAAAGGAACUAAUUUUAAUGAAGCUAGUUUUAAUGAAUGGUCUGGGAGGACUUGCCCAUCACUCCAGGUUGGCCUCGAGGGCAGAGUAUGUUAUGGAGGAGUGCAAGGAAGGCUCUGUUCUCUCUGGUGGCAGGUGUUCUGAAGUGUUCCAGUAGGUUGGCUACUUGUCAUAGUUGUUAUUGCUGUGAUAAAACAUGAGCAAAAGUAACCUGGGAAGGAGGAAUUAUUUCAGCUUACAAUUCCACAUCACCGUCCAGUGAAGGAAGUCAGGACUAGAGCUGACGGAGAGGCUAUGGAGAACUGCUACUUACUGUUUGCUCUUCGUGUCCUGCUCAGCCGAGCUUCUUGUAGUGCCCAGAAUUGCCAGCCCAGGGGUGGCAUUGCACAAAGUGAGCUAGGCCCUCCCAGAUCAAUAAAGAAAAAUCAGGACAGACUGACCCACAAACCAUCUAAUCUAGUGGGGCCAUUUUCAUAAUUUUCCUCUCCCAAAAUGACUCCUGUUUGUAUUAAGUUGACAUAAAACUAACCAGCAAAAUACUAUAUAUCCCUAUGUUGGUGAACUGCCACUUUGAAGCACAGAGACCCUUGGAGCCAGUAGUAAGCUGCUGCUCCUGUCCCAAUUGUGGGAUGGCAAAGACAGUGGGGGUGCCAGAAAGCCAAAGGGAGACUUCACUGCAGAGCUGCAGUCCCUAGGAACUUUUUUGGGGGAUCCACAUUCUGAGGACUGUGGCAUUUUGACCAUUUGCAGAAAUGAAUUCAACUGUGACUGGAAUCUUCCCUAACUCGGUGUGACCCUCUUGUUCCAGCUCUCCCUGACUGCUGACCUGGGCAGCUCUCUGGCCUUCUGGGUGGUCUACAGUGCCCCUCGGGAGUUAAGCUCUUCCUAUUGCAGCUUAUCUAUCACAGUCUUGGUUUUCUGUGAGCUAAAUGCUCUCUGGCUGAGCACAACCCCUUGAUAGCCUUAGGCCUCUGAGUCCAGCUUCUAUGGCUGAUUGUGCUUUUAUGGUACAUAGUGGCCUAGAGGGGAAGAUUGAAACUCAGCAUGGCACCAUCCCUUGAGUGUUUAAACUCAGAGAGUUGCUUAUGUCAGACCUAUACCAGGAACCCUUUUGUGUUCUGAAGGUCCCCUACUCAGACCCCAGGUUGAACAUCAAUCUGAUGUCAUUGGAAAGAGGACAGAUGUAUAUAUUGUAAAAUAUUGCUAUAGGCAGCAGCUGACGUACGCCCUCACUGUCUCCCCUUGCAUAAACUACUUUUAAGAGGCCAGGGCUAUUGUAGUAAAGGGAUUCUGUGGGUCAAAUUUCUUGGGAUGACUCUAGACUACAAGUUUGUGAUCUUUCCUUUAAAUGGCCAGGUUAGCACUUUGUCCCCUCGCCAGCAAUGGGUGCUUUACUGUCAGCUUUGAUCAGAAGAUUCCACCUAGAGAGCACACAGCUGACCUCAAGGCACUGCUGGUAAAGGUGGCAUACAUUGGGCUCACCUGUGGGUUUCCCCUAUCUACACUUGGUAGCACAGCUAGUGCUGUGCAGUGAGCUGGGGUCUAUCAAGUCGAUGUUUACUCCCCAUGUCUGUUCAUCCCUGACCUCCCUCCCUCUGGUCAUCCCUGCCUCAUGUUCUUUAGCUGUUUAGGCUGUUCUAUGAAUGUUCUGGUGGUUCAAAGAUGGGGCCCUUUGGCUUGUGUAGUGAGUUGGUCUACUUGGCCUUGGGACAAUCUAAUGCUGGAGGGAUUGGGGUCUUUUCAGAAUUCCUUAGGUGCCACCCUUGCUUCAGCUGCUAACUGGCCUGCAAGCUAGGCUAUACAGCCAUACUCUGCUUCAGUUCCAGGGCUGGAUACCCAGGUGUCCUGUGAAUUUGCUUCCUGGAACUGCUGUAACUAAGUGCCAAAAACUGGAUGGACUAAAACGAGCUUUUUGUCUGUUGGGUCUGUCUCAUGGUUUAAUCAAGGUGUUUGCUACUACAGCCACUGCCAGUGCUGGGGGGAAAGUGCUGCAGGUCUCUGCAUCUGGUACAUUCUGGGCUCACUUAGGCAUUCUUUGUCUCAGACUUCAAAGGCAUACAUUAUGCCGUCCUCUGCAUGAUUCCAAAAUCUCCUUUACAUGAAGACUAUUGGACCAGAGCUCACCUGGAGCAGCAUUUUGUCUCUGUAAAGACUAC
rnacentral:lncRNA from 14 species